CAGGUUUUUACAAAAAAGACUGGCAUUUAUGGGGUUAAAAUACACAACCUGAAUAAAGUUUUGCUAUUUAUGAUUAGGUUAUAAGUCAAUGAUGGCAGCCAAAAAAAAAAAAAAUUAAAAUACAUUUAUUUAGACCAUAUUUUUACUCCAGCAAAAUGGAGGGGACUGUUUCGGUCCUUAGGGGUGUUUAUUGAAGUUUUUAUUAUUAUUCAACACUACAGAAAAAAUACCAAUCCUUUCAAAUCCAUUUUCUCAUCAAUGUUUACCAAUCCCAUGCUCUAAUAAUCAAAAGUUAAAAAAAACAAUUUGCAUUUAUAGGAUGGAAAAUAAUUCACUAAUUGUGUUUUUUGACUUAAAAUAAUAUCAGGUUUUUACAAAAAAGACUGGCAUUUAUGGGGUUAAAAUACGAAACCUGAAUAAAGUUUUGCUAUUUAUGAUUAGGUUAUAAGUCAAUGAUGGCAGCCAAAAAAAAAAAAAUUUAAAUAUAUUUAUUUAGACAAUAUUUCUACUGCAGCAAAAUGGAGGGGACCGUUUCGGUCCUUAGGGGUGUUAAUUAAAGUUUUUAUUAUUAUUCAACACUACAGAAAAAAUACAAAUCCUUUCAAAUCAAUUUUCUCAUCAAUGUUUACCAAUCCCAUGCUCUAAUAAUCAAAAGUUUAAAAAAACAAUUUGCAUAUAUAGGAUGGAAAAUAAUUCACUAAUUGUGUUUUUUGACUUAAAAUAAUAUCAGGUUUUUACAAAAAAGACUGG